rnacentral:rRNA from 1 species
GACGAACGCUGGCGGCGCGCCUAACACAUGCAAGUCGAACGAGCGAGAGAGAGCUUGCUUUCUCGAGCGAGUGGCGAACGGGUGAGUAACGCGUGAGGAACCUGCCUCAAAGAGGGGGACAACAGUUGGAAACGACUGCUAAUACCGCAUAAGCCCACGGCUCGGCAUCGAGCAGAGGGAAAAGGAGCAAUCCGCUUUGAGAUGGCCUCGCGUCCGAUUAGCUAGUUGGUGAGGUAACGGCCCACCAAGGCAACGAUCGGUAGCCGGACUGAGAGGUUGAACGGCCACAUUGGGACUGAGACACGGCCCAGACUCCUACGGGAGGCAGCAGUGGGGAAUAUUGCACAAUGGGGGAAACCCUGAUGCAGCGACGCCGCGUGGAGGAAGAAGGUCUUCGGAUUGUAAACUCCUGUUGUUGGGGAAGAUAAUGACGGUACCCAACAAGGAAGUGACGGCUAACUACGUGCCAGCAGCCGCGGUAAAACGUAGGUCACAAGCGUUGUCCGGAAUUACUGGGUGUAAAGGGAGCGCAGGCGGGAAGACAAGUUGGAAGUGAAAUCUAUGGGCUCAACCCAUAAACUGCUUUCAAAACUGUUUUUCUUGAGUAGUGCAGAGGUAGGCGGAAUUCCCGGUGUAGCGGUGGAAUGCGUAGAUAUCGGGAGGAACACCAGUGGCGAAGGCGGCCUACUGGGCACCAACUGACGCUGAGGCUCGAAAGUGUGGGUAGCAAACAGGAUUAGAUACCCUGGUAGUCCACACCGUAAACGACAAUAAAGGGGUGUUGGAGGAUUGACCCCCUCAGCGCCGCAGUUAACACAAUAAGUAAUCCACCUGGGGAGUGCGACCGCAAGGGUGAAACUUAAAGGAAUUGACGGGGGCCCGCACAAGCAGUGGAGUAUGUGGUUUAAUUCGACGCAACGCGAAGAACCUUACCAAGUCUUGACAUCCCUCGACAGGCAUAGAAAUAUGUUUUUUUUUUGGAGCAAGGAGACAGGUGGUGCAUGGUUGUCGUCAGCUCGUGUCGUGAGAUGUUAGGUUAAGUCCCGCAACGAGCGCAACCCCUAUGGUCAGUUAUUACGCAAGAGGACUCUGGCCAGACUGCCGUUGACAAAACGGAGGAAGGGGGGGAGGACGUCAAAUCAUCAUGCCCCUUAUGACUUGGGGUACACACGUACUACAAUGGCGUUAAACAAAGAGAAGCGAGACCGCGAGGGGGAGCAAAACUCAGAAACAACGUCCCAGUUCGGAGUGCAGGCUGCAACUCGCCUGCACGAAGUCGGAAUUGCUAGUAAUCGUGGAUCAGCAUGCCACGGUGAAUACGUUCCCGGGCCUUGCACA